rnacentral:tRNA from 1 species
AACGAAAUAGUUUAAUUUAGAGAAUAUUGGGUUUGCGUCCUGAUGGUAGAGUGAUUCUUUUUGUUG